rnacentral:rRNA from 1 species
CCUACGGGAGGCAGCAGUAGGGAAUAUUGGACAAUGGGUGCGAGCCUGAUCCAGCCAUGCCGCGUGCAGGAAGACGGCCUUCUGGGUUGUAAACUGCUUUUGCCAGGGGAUAAAAAGUCCCUGCGGGGAAAAUUGAAGGUACCUGGUGAAUAAGCCACGGCUAACUACGUGCCAGCAGCCGCGGUAAUACGUAGGUGGCAAGCGUUGUCCGGAUUUAUUGGGUUUAAAGGGUGCGUAGGCGGCCCUGUAAGUCAGUGCUGAAAUAUCCCGGCUUAACCGGGAGGGUGGCAUUGAUACUGCAGGGCUUGAGUACAGAUGAGGUAGGCGGAAUUGACGGUGUAGCGGUGAAAUGCAUAGAUAUCGUCAAGAACACCGAUAGCGAAGGCAGCUUACCAAGCUGUAACUGACGCUGAGGCACGAAAGUGUGGGGAUCAAACAGGAUUAGAUACCCUGGUAGUCCACACUGUAAACGUUGAUGACUCGAUGUUGGCGAUACACAGCCAGCGUCCAAGAGCAAUCGUUAAGUCAUCCACCUGGGGAGUACGCCGGCAACGGUGAAACUCAAAUGAAUUGACGG